GUUAGUUGUACGCUACAUGCUCUACAAGUUUCAAAAUUUCAAUUUGACUGAAAGAGCAACUACUGGUCACGACAGAGGAGUCACGAUCCGGACGUAGAAAGAUAUAGGAUACGAUGGACGAAUGACCUGAGAAUGGGCAUGGUAAUCGAGAAUUACAUCCGUGAUUUAUAUCUAAAUUCACAAAAUCAAGAUAGAGCAAAAGAUAUCAACCCCUGGUGUUAAUAAGGGCAUUGGUCAGGACGUACACAUUUUCCACUAGGAUCUCUGAAAAAGCCAUCUCUACAAAAGCAACCUCUCACGCAUACAGCUGGGCAGAUUAAUGAUUGAAAGCGAUUGGUGCAAUUGGAAGGACAGGCUGAACCGCACUCUUUAAAUUCUUCAUUGAUGCCACACACUUGAACUGUUUCAGAAAAUGCAUCCUAGGAUCUUACCCACAGGACACAAUGCUGGUGGAAUGCAUUUCCCACCCGGGCCACGGACAAGGCCUGGUCUACAAAAGCAGCCUUUGGUGCAAGGAAGAGAGCAAGGAGUUUUAC